AGAGUUUGAUCCUGGCUCAGGAUGAACGCUGGCGGCGUGCCUAACACAUGCAAGUCGAGCGAUUCUCUUCGGAGAAGAGCGGCGGACGGGUGAGUAACGCGUGGGUAACCUGCCCUGUACACACGGAUAACAUACCGAAAGGUAUGCUAAUACGAGAUAAUAUGCUUUUAUCGCAUGGUAGAAGUAUCAAAGCUCCGGCGGUACAGGAUGGACCCGCGUCUGAUUAGCUAGUUGGUGAGGUAACGGCUCACCAAGGCGACGAUCAGUAGCCGACCUGAGAGGGUGAUCGGCCACAUUGGAACUGAGACACGGUCCAAACUCCUACGGGAGGCAGCAGUGGGGAAUAUUGCACAAUGGGCGAAAGCCUGAUGCAGCAACGCCGCGUGAGCGAUGAAGGCCUUCGGGUCGUAAAGCUCUGUCCUCAAGGAAGAUAAUGACGGUACUUGAGGAGGAAGCCCCGGCUAACUACGUGCCAGCAGCCGCGGUAAUACGUAGGGGGCUAGCGUUAUCCGGAAUUACUGGGCGUAAAGGGUGCGUAGGUGGUUUCUUAAGUCAGAGGUGAAAGGCUACGGCUCAACCGUAGUAAGCCUUUGAAACUGGGAAACUUGAGUGCAGGAGAGGAGAGUGGAAUUCCUAGUGUAGCGGUGAAAUGCGUAGAUAUUAGGAGGAACACCAGUUGCGAAGGCGGCUCUCUGGACUGUAACUGACACUGAGGCACGAAAGCGUGGGGAGCAAACAGGAUUAGAUACCCUGGUAGUCCACGCCGUAAACGAUGAGUACUAGCUGUCGGAGGUUACCCCCUUCGGUGGCGCAGCUAACGCAUUAAGUACUCCGCCUGGGAAGUACGCUCGCAAGAGUGAAACUC
rnacentral:rRNA from 1 species